rnacentral:lncRNA from 1 species
AUUUGUUGAUUUUUAAAAUCCGCGUGACUAUAGUCUAGGCCCCGCCAAUGGGAUGAUACGUUGGCCCUGUCGACUUGUACUGGGGAACUAGUUCUGACACCGCGACCAUCGGUGAUAGAAUAGUGGCGGCACAGGGGUGCGUUUUGCUCUUCGGAGCGGCUCGGUGGAGCGUGAGUUUGGCACCAGGGGGUGCGGCACAGUGGUGCGUUGGCUCAGUGGAGCGGCUCUUCGGAGAGUUGUAUUGGCACUUCGGUGUAACCAUGCCACUGGGUGAUGUGGCCGUAGUCAUGCGGUUGAGUUAUUUUGAGU